rnacentral:lncRNA from 1 species
UUCUGUUUGUUAAUCGGUUCGAUCUAUUACGCUUGCUUACUGCUUUCCUCGGGUGGGUAUUUCUCUAUUCGGUUCUUUCGAUUGCUUCAUCGGUUGAUUUUGGGGAUUAUUGGUUUUUUUGCUUGUUUGACUGUGAGUUCCGUUGAUUUGCAGCGAUCUUCUGAACUUGAGCUGAUGAGCUACAGGUUUACGGAAAUUGAAGUUAAUCCCCUUUAGUUAAUUUUUGCAAGUUAUCAUGGGGGAUUUUGACUUCGAAGAAAUCCGCUUUUUAACUUGAGGAGUUAGGCAUUUGAUUCCUAUCUCUUAGGGUUUAUAGGAUCUUCGUUCUGUUUUGUGGUUAAUUGUGAUGUUAUGGUAGUUUGUGACUUGCGAAUGUAUGAAUUGGUAUUAUCUCAUUGUAUUCAUCUUAUAGAGGUGGUGUUAAUGAUCGACUUUUAUUGCAGUGCCUCGCAACUUUAGAUUGUUGGAA